rnacentral:tRNA from 1 species
AAGUCCGGUAGUGCGAGGCACGUUGAACUGCAAAUUCGAAGACGCCGUUUAUUCUUGGCCCGGACU